AUGACGUCAAGUCCUCAUGGCCUUUAUGACCAGGGCUACACACGUACUACAAUGGCCGAUACAAAGGGCAGCGACACUGCGAGGUGAAGCCAAUCCCGUAAAAUCGGUCUCAGUCCGGAUUGGAGUCUGCAACUCGACUCCAUGAAGUUGGAAUCGCUAGUAAUCGUGGAUCAGCAUGCCACGGUGAAUACGUUCCCGGCCUU
rnacentral:rRNA from 1 species